GGAGGGGGGGAGCAACACGAGUGAAGGGGGACUGCUGCUCUAUAGUUCUGGAUGCUGUCGAGAGGAGGGAAGGAAGUGAAGUGAAGGGAGGAGAGCAGCGAGACACAGCCACAUUUGUGGAGAGGUAGUCGCAACCUGUCACCCUUGCUGAGAAGACAAAGAAGGUGGCCGCGAAUGUCUACAGCCAGCAGGGCAGGGACUGCAAAAUUACGGAGCAUUUCUUCCUUCUAUUCUGUCUGCGUGUCUUCCCCAGUCUCGCCAGUAGCGGGCAACACAAGCCCACUUUGUGAGCAGGAAGAUCCUUCUACUUUUUUUUUUUUUUUUUUUUUGCAGCUUAACACAGAGGAGGGUGAUUGCAGCGGAGAAUUGUAAUCUUCUUACAGGAUCUCUGGUCAAUACCUUUAGCAUGGCCUCUGUACCACAUACACAACCGGAGUUUAGACUUGCAUCUUUAAAACUAAGAUUGCUGUAAUUUGGCCUAUAGGCUACAUUGAACAUAAAAUGUUAAUAACUUCAAAGAUUAAUUUUAGAAUGACUCAUCUAGUGUGUCCUUUUUGUUAAAAGGAAACAGACAAAAAAAAAGGCUUGUUAAUAUUAAAUACAAUGUUCAAUUGUAUGUAUUGAACAUGAACUUUUUUGUGACAAUCACAUCUAACAUUUUCUGGUUUGACUUUAGUAUUAGCCCUUUUACUAAACCAGUUCACACUGGAGCACAUCCUGAAAGAAUUCCCCGCACUUCACCUGUUACAUUCACAGUGAUUGUGAACCACUGAUUUAAAUGGACUUGGAAAGUCAAACACACGUCUAUAAAAGGUCCUGUAGUUAAUAGUACAAAAAAUAAAUAAAUAAAUUCUGCUGCUUUGAAGAUCUUAGUGAGCUCAGUGGCUUCUAUGAUUCAUAAAUCGAAUAAGUUUGGAAUCACCAGGACUCUACCUAGACCUGGCUGGGCGUCAAAACUGAGCGGGUGACCAAAACCAUGAUGGUCACUCCGUCAGAAAUCCAGUGUUCCUCUGAGAGAUGAGAAUCUUCCAAAAGGACAACAAUCCCUUCAGCAAACCACCAGUAAGGCCUGUAUGGUGUCCAGAUGAAAGCCUGGCAUGGCAGCCUCCUGGACGUUUGUCAAAAGGCACCUGGAGGACUCACAGACCACUGGAAGCAACAUUCUCCAGUCUGAUGACACAAAGAUUGAACUCUUUAGUAAAUGCCAGGUGUCAUGUUUGGAGGAAACCAGGCAUGGCUCAUCAACAGGCCAAUAUUAUCUCUAGAGUAAAGUGGAAUGGUGGUAGCACAGACACUACAAAACCUUACUUACAUUGGCUAAUAACAGGGCUGUAAAUACUCCUCUUGCCUUCUAAGAAAUAAAAUUCUUAGAAGGACUUAAUACAUUGUAUUAAAUCCCCCAUGCUAUCGCAAUUCUUUCAGAAAACCCAGACAAAUGUCUUUUUGUAAAUAUUGAUUUAAAUUCUACUCCAAAAAAUGCAACUUCUUACAAUAAUGGUUAAAUUCUAACAGCUUGUUUCAUUUGAAUAGAACCUGUUGUCUGAAGGCUUGUACAAAGAUUUGUUUGAUAGUUAGACAGAAACAGUCAACUCUACACUUUUCUACUAGAGUUUUCCUGUUAAAUGUAUUAAAUACUUCUGAAAUUAAUCUGCUGAGAUAUAAGGCAAGCGAGCAAAUAUCCCAUUUUGUAAUCCCUGCUGAGAUUUGUCACUUUACGCAUCAUGGUGGAUUAAAUGAUUGAGCUCUGGAGACAUUAUCAUGUGCAGGGUAUAUAGGACAUAAAUUAAUGUUCUCUGUGGUUGCAACCUUAAACACCAUUUCAUAGACCUCUGAGGGUCUAAUAUGUUUAAAAGGCUUUUCCUUAUAAUACACAGCUUCUACCCUUGACUUUUCAUAACUCAGAGAAUCUCACUAAGUACAUGCAAUGACCAACAUGACCCUCAAAUUAAAAUAAAACAAAUAUCAGUGAAUAAAUAGUAUGGGACCAUGAAUGAUUUGUAAAAGGAUUGAAAAAAAAUUUCAUUUUGGUUUAAGUGGAAUCAGCUCCUUUCCUACAAUAUGCUACUUCAGGAAAAAAUGUAUAGGCCUUAGUCAAUAAA